UUUACUUCAACAGAACCCACAGCAACAAUGGCCUUCAUCACCAUCUUCCUCUGGACACUCCUCUUCACUGUUCAGGAAUGCAAUGGACAGAUUUCUGUGACUCAGCCUCCAGUAAUAUCUACUGCUCCAGGGCAGACAGUUACUGUGAGCUGUAGGACCAGUCCUGCAGUGUACAACAAUAAUCACCUAAACUGGUACCAACAGAAAGCUGGAGAAGCUCCUAAACUCCUGAUCUAUGGAGCAACUAACCGUCAGACUGGGAUCCCAGAGCGUUUCAGUGGCAGUGGAUCUGGGACUGACUUCACUCUGACCAUCACAGGAGUCCAGGCUGAAGAUGCAGCAGAUUAUUAUUGUCAGAGUUUACAUUACCCAAACAGUAAAUGGGUGUUCACACAGUGUUACACACUCGUACAAAAACCUCCCUCAGCAAGACUGCACAGUGACUGCUCUGGUGCAGCUGGGACCUACUUCAGCUGCUGAGGGUGAAGGCAAAGA